rnacentral:rRNA from 1 species
CCUACGGGAGGCAGCAGUGAGGAAUAUUGGUCAAUGGGCUUACGCCUGAACCAGCCAAGUCGCGUGAGGGAAGACUGCCCUAUGGGUUGUAAACCUCUUUUGUCAGGGAGCAACGCCGGCUACGUGUAGCCGGACUGAGAGUACCUGAAGAAAAAGCAUCGGCUAACUCCGGGCCAGCAGCCGCGGUAAUACGGGGGAUGCGAGCGUUAUCCGGAUUUUUGGGGUUUAAAGGGUGCGUAGGCGGAAUGCCAAGUCAGCGGUAAAAUCGGGGGGCUCAACCUCGCUCCGCCGUUGAAACUGGCGUUCUUGAGUGGGCGAGAAGUAUGCGGAAUGCGUGGUGUAGCGGUGAAAUGCAUAGAUAUCACGCAGAACUCCGAUUGCGAAGGCAGCAUACCGGCGCCCAACUGACGCUGAAGCACGAAAGCGUGGGUAUCGAACAGGAUUAGAUACCCGUGUAGUC